UAACUUACCUGGCAGGGAAGCUACCAUGAUCACACAAGGUGGUUUUCCCAGGGCGAGGUUUAUCCAUUGCACUUCAGAUGUGCUGACCCCUGCGAUUUCCCCAAAUGUGUGAAACUUGACUGCAUAAUUUGUGGUAGUGGGGGAAUGUGUUCAUGCUCUCCCCUG
rnacentral:snRNA from 1 species